GUAGUAUACAGUGUGGCCCGAAAGUUUUAGACUACAAGAAAUCUGUUUCGUGACAUUCGAGCUUUGUAGAUAGAGCACUGUCGAGCGUAGUAGAGCGCUGUAGAUAGAGCGCUGUGGUGCGCGUUGGAGAGUUGUAGAACGUUGUAAAGUGUUGUGGAGCGUGUUAGAGCGCUGUGGAGCGUUGUAGAUAGAGCGCUGUGGAGCGUGUUAGAGCGCUGUGGAGCGUUGUAGAUAGAGCGUUGUGGAGCGUUGUAAAGUGCUGUGGAGCGUUGUCGAGCGCUGUGGAGCGUUGUCGAGCGCUGUGGAGCGUUGUCGAGCGCUGUGGAGCGUUGUCGAGCGCUGUGGAGCGUUGUAGAUAGAGCGCUGUGGAGAGUUGUAGAGUGUUGUGGAGCGCUGUGGAGAGUUGUAGAGUGUUGUGGAGCGCUGUCAAGCGCUGUAGAUAGAGCGCUGUGGUGCCGCACCACUGGUGCGCUUUGGAGACUUGUAGAACGUUGUAAAGUGCUGUGGAGCGUCGUAGAUAGAGCGCUGUGGAGGGUUGUAGAACGUUGUGGAGCGUUGUCGAGCGCUGUCAAGCGUUGUAGUUGUAGAGCGCUGUGGCGAGUUGUACAGCGUUGUAGAUAGAGCGCUGUGGAGAGUUGUAGAGCGUUGUGGAGCGCUGUGGAGCGUGGUAGAGAGCUGUGGAGCGUGGUAGAGCGCUGUGAGGCGUGAUGGAUUAGAUUAGGCGAUCCUGGCCGAGAAUCAUUUUACAAAUUAUAAUUCACAUAUUUAGUGCAUGGUGCAAACUUUUGGGCCACACUGUAACAUUCAUCUUUCUUCCGAUGCAAACAAAUAUGCCGUAGUCAGCUGCACACAUACUGCAUGGGCCAGGAAAAGUGAAAAGGCUUUUCCGAAAACCUAAACAUCACUUAACUUAGUUAAGUAAUAAUUUUGAUUUCUAAAAUUCGACUAAUAAAAAUUUAAAAAUUAUUACGUGCAAUUUUUUCAACUUAUUCCAAAGCAGUGUAAGUUCAAAGUUAAAGUUAAAGUUAAAGUUAAAGUCAGACUUUAAACUUUAACUAUAUUGAUGAAUCAAUCACCAUAUUUCUUUAUUUUGUAAAUAAAGAUCUCUCUGUAUUUGAUUACAUACAAUGAGGUUCGAAAUAUUAACCGGUCAGGUCGAAUUAUUGCAUCGCCAGCUCACACAGACUUAUCAAAUUGUCCAGCAUUUUAUUGAUAACGAAUUCGGAGCAACGGAACAAUUAAAGUUGGAAUUGUCCUCUUUUCUGUGUCACUUCUCGACUUUGUCAACGCAUCUGGCAAGUGCAAAAACAAAAGUGGACACCUUCAUAGGUCAAUCAGAGCCAUGCACUCUUAUCAAUGAGAUUGAUAGUGGGAGUAGCGAAAAUUAUGGGGUGGAAAAUGUAGUCAUUAAGAUGGAGGUGAGCGACCCCCCAUGCCCAAUUGAACUGGAAGACAUUGAACUAUUUCCUGAACAGUGGAGUGGCAAUGCAUCAACGGCUAUUGUUAAAGGAAGAAGAGCAGUGAAACGUUCUAAAAAUGCAGGCGAAAACUGCGAGGUUGGUCUUUUAAAUUAGAAUGACUCGGACUCUGACUAUGUACCUCCACCUUCUGAAGAUUCACAUCAAUCUGAACUUAGCGACACAGUAGUUUUCCAGAAGAGCGACGACCUCGGAGAAUUAAUCCAACUGGCCGAAGGCGAAAAAAAAUUAACCAAGAUCUGCUUUGUGUGUCAGAAAGAAUUUUAUACUACGAGUGGGCUAGCAAAUCACAUGUCGAGACAUGACAAGGAUGCUAAGAGUACGAAGGAAUUAAAUCAUAGGAGACGAAUGCGUGGUUUGGAAUAUGUCGGAUAUUCAAAAGUCGAAGCUAGUUCAACCGGAGCAAAAAUUAUUCAAGUUAAAAAGACACCGAGAUCCGGUCGUCGUCUCGGUCCAGCUUGUACUUCCUGCACGAAGAGUAAAAUACGAAAGUGCGUUCACUUUAGUGAAGAAGUGAGAAAGGAAUUGUUUGACAACUUUUGGAUAAGUAUGGACUGGAAAGCAAAGAAAUCGUAUGUCAGGGGCUUGGUAGAUGUCAUCCAGGAUGAUUGUCAAACAACCCAGCACCAUUCGAGGAGAAAAAUAUAGUGUAUCACUUACCGAUACGGGCCGGGUUAAAAGUCAAAGUUUGUAGAGCCAUGUUCUUGGCCACGCUUGGAAUCGGAAAAAAGCAGUUGGUGAACUGGGUACGGAAAGAUGACAGUGUUGAUCAUGGUAGUACCGCUCAAGUGGUCAAAGAAGAUGAGGUCCAUUGAAGAUAUCGAAAGUUGUAGUUUAAAUGCAUUUGUACAAGAAACUGAAUAGUAAUAUUUUUAUAUUUACUGCUGAUAUUAUCUAAAGAAGGGUAUCUGUUAUGGUGAUCGUUUUGGGCUAAAUUUCGAUGAGUUUUGAAUUAUUUUGAUAAGAAAUUAAGGCGAUUUUUUGGGCUAAUAUAUCUUAUCAAAAUUCGUUUGGUUGUCAGUGGUUUUUGAUUGGUAAAUAGAGCUCAAUGAUUCUUACCCCGAUUUAAGACUUGGGGAACCGUUUUGCCAGUCUGUCUGUUCGUCUGUCUGUUCAUUUUCAACUUUGUCAAAUGAACCCCGAUUAACUGCAAACUUGGCGAGUUGGCAAAUUAUACUAUCAAACAAUUAUUCAGCAUGUCUACUAUAACUCCAAGGGUCCUGUUUGAGUCACUUCCAACCCAUGAAUGUAAUCAAUGUUUUUUUCUUGUCGGGCUUUGGUUUAUAAAUAUUGGAAAUUUUAUGCAAAAUUGUAGCAACGCGCAACAUGGUUACCAUUUUAUUAAUACCUGUGGUAAUUUUGCAUGGUUUCCAUUUUAUUCCCUGUUUUUUGAUGCAUUUGAAUUUAUUGCUCGAAAUCUAGAAAUGUACCAUCUUAAAUUCUUUGAUGAAAAAUCACCAAUAGUAUGAUCAUCAACAUAUGCAAAUAUUUACAAAAUCGUUCGUGGGCUUCGUAUUUUAAUUUGCGUUUUUGUUUUUGGCCUAUCUAAAUACGUGUUAAACAUAGCCCAGGAGAAUAUUUGUUUCUCCACUUGUGGGCAUGUACCAUUGCUGAAAUUUUCAGGAAUGGUAGUUUGAAAGUUGUUUGAUAUCGUAUUAAAAAAAUCAGAAAAAUCGUUCGUGGGCUUCAUCGUUUUAUAAUUCAUCGAAAUUUAGCCCAAUACGAUCGUCUUAAUAGAUACCAAGCUUUCAGAAAUUUGACGACUUAUAAGUUUAGUUAACUUAUCGUCUAAUUUUGUAUUACGUAAUUGCAGAAGUUUAUGUAUUCCAAUAAACUGCACGGUUGGCUUUAAAUAUGUAUGAAGUCAUGGCCUAUUUUUGUUAACCUAGAUAAGUAAUUACGUUAAUUAAUCCACGUUUGUAUCUAAUCGUACGUUGUACAUUUAGCUUCAAAUUUUGACUCAGAAAAUGCUACAAAAAAUAGAUAUGCAAUGAUAUAAAGAAUCACUUAUCUACUUGGAAAAUGUUAACUAUGUAUCUGUAUGCUCGCUGUAAUCAAGGUUCCUGGAAUUGCAAGGAUUCAGACAAAAACAUGCGUAUUAAUAAAUGAAUGUAUAUAAACGAAA